CCCAGAUCCAGGCCCCAGAUCCAGGCCGGGCCGCGGCUCUCGCCGCCCAACCCAGCCCGGCCCGGCCCGGCCCUGCCGCGGAGGCGAGGCCGCCAGUGUCCCGCGCCCCUGCUAUCUGCAGUGAGCCUGAUAUCUGCCUCUGCCCUUCUGAGCCUGUUCCUUUUCCCUGAGUACAGGGCACAAAGCUUGCGCCCUGAGGAGCGGCCGGCGCGCUCCCUGGCCCGGUCCCCGCCCGGCCCCGGGCCCCCCGCCCCUCCCCGCCCCGGGGCCGGGGCCCCUGCCGCCGCCGCCUUCCGACCCCUGCGCCCCGGCCCCGGUCCCCCGGGCCAUGCAGCCUCGGCCCCGCGGGCGCCCGCCGCGCACCCGAGGAGAUGAGGCUCCGCAAUGGCACCUUCCUGACGCUGCUGCUCUUCUGCCUGUGCGCCUUCCUCUCGCUGUCCUGGUACGCGGCACUCAGCGGCCAGAAAGGCGACGUUGUGGACGUUUACCAGCGGGAGUUCCUGGCGCUGCGCGAUCGGUUGCACGCAGCUGAGCAGGAGAGCCUCAAGCGCUCCAAGGAGCUCAACCUGGUGCUGGACGAGAUCAAGAAGGCCGUGUCGGAAAGGCAGGCGCUGCGAGACGGAGACGGCAAUCGCACCUGGGGCCGCCUAACAGAGGACCCCCGAUUGAAGCCGUGGAACGGCUCACACCGGCACGUGCUGCACCUGCCCACCGUCUUCCAUCACCUGCCACACCUGCUGGCCAAGGAGAGCAGUCUGCAGCCCGCGGUGCGCGUGGGCCAGGGGCGCACCGGAGGUAUGGGCGCGGACAGGGAGGAGCACGGGGUGGGGGGGCGGGUGGCCCCCGCGCCCUUUCCAGCGUCGGGCCUCCGUCCCCCAUAGUGUCGGUGGUGAUGGGCAUCCCGAGUGUGCGGCGCGAGGUGCACUCGUACCUGACUGACACUCUGCACUCGCUCAUCUCCGAGCUGAGCCCGCAGGAGAAGGAGGACUCGGUCAUCGUGGUGCUGAUCGCCGAG
rnacentral:sRNA from 1 species